GACGAACGCUGGCGGCGCGCUUAACACAUGCAAGUCGAACGGAAAGGCCUGCUUUCCCUUGUGGAUUGCGGGUACUCGAGUGGCGAACGGGUGAGUAACACGUGAGUGAUCUGCCCCCAACUUGGGUAUAAGCCUGGGAAACUGGGUCUAAUUCCCGAUAGGACUGCAGGGUGGUGCCUGUGGUGGAAAACGAUUUUCUAGUGGUUGGGGAUGAGCUCGCGGCCUAUCAGCUUGUUGGUGGGGUAAUGGCCUACCAAGGCGGCGACGGGUAGCCGGCCUGAGAGGGUGGACGGCAACAUUGGGACGGAGAUACGGCCCAGACUCCUACGGGAGGCAGCCGUGGGGAAUAUUGCACAAUGGGCGGAAGCCUGAUGCAGCGACGCCGAGUGGGGGAUGACGGCCUUCGGGUUGUAAACUCCUUUCGACCGCGAGGAAGCCACCUGGUUGGAAGGGUGGUGACGGUAGUGGUAGAAGAAGCACCGGCUAACUACGUG
rnacentral:rRNA from 1 species